UACGUAGGGCGCCAGCGUUGUCCGGAAUCAUUGGGCGUAAAGAGCUCGUAGGUGGUCUGUUACGUCUGCUGUGAAAUCCUAGGGCUUAACCCUGGGCCUGCAGUGGAUACGGGCAGACUAGAGGUAGGUAGGGGAGAAUGGAAUUCCCGGUGUAGCGGUGAAAUGCGCAGAUAUCGGGAGGAACACCGGUGGCGAAGGCGGUUCUCUGGGCCUUACCUGACACUGAGGAGCGAAAGCGUGGGGAGCGAACAGG
rnacentral:rRNA from 1 species